rnacentral:rRNA from 1 species
GGCACUACGGUGCUGAAGCAACAAAUGCCCUGCUUCCAGGAAAAGCCUCUAAGCAUCAGGUAACAUCAAAUCGUACCCCAAACCGACACAGGUGGUCAGGUAGAGAAUACCAAGGCGCUUGAGAGAACUCGGGUGAAGGAACUAGGCAAAAUGGUGCCGUAACUUCGGGAGAAGGCACGCUGAUAUGUAGGUGAAGCGACUUGCUCGUGGAGCUGAAAUCAGUCGAAGAUACCAGCUGGCUGCAACUGUUUAUUAAAAACACAGCACUGUGCAAACACGAAAGUGGACGUAUACGGUGUGACGCCUGCCCGGUGCCGGAAGGUUAAUUGAUGGGGUUAGCGCAAGCGAAGCUCUUGAUCGAAGCCCCGGUAAACGGCGGCCGUAACUAUAACGGUCCUAAGGUAGCGAAAUUCCUUGUCGGGUAAGUUCCGACCUGCACGAAUGGCGUAAUGAUGGCCAGGCUGUCUCCACCCGAGACUCAGUGAAAUUGAACUCGCUGUGAAGAUGCAGUGUACCCGCGGCAAGACGGAAAGACCCCGUGAACCUUUACUAUAGCUUGACACUGAACAUUGAGCCUUGAUGUGUAGGAUAGGUGGGAGGCUUUGAAGUGUGGACGCCAGUCUGCAUGGAGCCGACCUUGAAAUACCACCCUUUAAUGUUUGAUGUUCUAACGUGGACCCGUAAUCCGGGUUGCGGACAGUGUCUGGUGGGUAGUUUGACUGGGGCGGUCUCCUCCUAAAGAGUAACGGAGGAGCACGAAGGUUGGCUAAUCCUGGUCGGACAUCAGGAGGUUAGUGCAAUGGCAUAAGCCAGCUUGACUGCGAGCGUGACGGCGCGAGCAGGUGCGAAAGCAGGUCAUAGUGAUCCGGUGGUUCUGAAUGGAAGGGCCAUCGCUCAACGGAUAAAAGGUACUCCGGGGAUAACAGGCUGAUACCGCCCAAGAGUUCAUAUCGACGGCGGUGUUUGGCACCUCGAUGUCGGCUCAUCACAUCCUGGGGCUGAAGUAGGUCCCAAGGGUAUGGCUGUUCGCCAUUUAAAGUGGUACGCGAGCUGGGUUUAGAACGUCGUGAGACAGUUCGGUCCCUAUCUGCCGUGGGCGCUGGAGAACUGAGGGGGGCUGCUCCUAGUACGAGAGGACCGGAGUGGACGCAUCACUGGUGUUCGGGUUGUCAUGCCAAUGGCACUGCCCGGUAGCUAAAUGCGGAAGAGAUAAGUGCUGAAAGCAUCUAAGCACGAAACUUGCCCCGAGAUGAGUUCUCCCUGACUCCUUGAGAGUCCUGAAGGAACGUUGAAGACGACGACGUUGAUAGGCCGGGUGUGUAAGCGCAGCGAUGCGUUGAGCUAACCGGUACUAAUGAACCGUGAGG